GACGAACGCUGGCGGCGUGCUUAACACAUGCAAGUCGAACGGAAAGGCCCUGCUUUUGUGGGGUGCUCGAGUGGCGAACGGGUGAGUAACACGUGAGUAACCUGCCCUUGACUUUGGGAUAACUUCAGGAAACUGGGGCUAAUACCGGAUAGGAGCUCCUGCUGCAUGGUGGGGGUUGGAAAGUUUCGGCGGUGGGGGAGGGACUCGCGGCUAAUCAGCUUGUUGGUGGGGUAGUGGCUUACCAAGGCGUUGACGGGUAGCCGGCCUGAGAGGGUGACCGGCACAAAGGGGACUGAGACACGGCCCGUACUCAGAGGGGGGGAAGCAGGGGGGAAUAUUGGACAAGGGACCGAGAGUCUGAUCGAGCAAUUCUGUGGGGACGAUGGAGUUUUUGGGAAUGUAAAGUGCUUUCAGUUGGGAAGAAACAAAUGACGGUACCAACAGAAGAAGUGACGGCUAAAUACGUG
rnacentral:rRNA from 1 species